rnacentral:rRNA from 1 species
GAUGAACGCUGGCGGCGUGCCUAAUACAUGCAAGUCGAGCGAACAGAUGAGGAGCUUGCUCCUCUGACGUUAGCGGCGGACGGGUGAGUAACACGUGGAUAACCUACCUAUAAGACUGGGAUAACUACGGGAAACCGGAGCUAAUACCGGAUAAUAUAUUGAACCGCAUGGUUCAAUAGUGAAAGACGGUUUUGCUGUCACUUAUAGAUGGAUCCGCGCCGCAUUAGCUAGUUGGUAAGGUAACGGCUUACCAAGGCAACGAUGCGUAGCCGACCUGAGAGGGUGGUCGGCCACACGGGAACUGGAACACGGUCCAGACUCCUACGGGAGGCAGCAGUAGGGAAUCUGCCGCAAUGGGCGAAAGCCUGACGGAGCAACGCCGCGUGAGUGAUGAAGGUCUUCGGAUCGUAAAACUCUGUUAUUAGGGAAGAACAAAUGUGUAAGUAACUAUGCACGUCUUGACGGUACCUAAUCAGAAAGCCACGGCUAACUACGUG